ACAACAUUCCAGGAAUGUACUACCAAAGUUCUAUCAAUAUUUGAAUGUCCUGGACAUUUAGGGAACAUUCGGUGAACAUCUGUUUAAAUUAUUCCUGGAAUGUUACCAUAAGACAUUCUGUGAACAUACUACCAAUGUUCCUAUAUUUUAAGUUGCGAAAUAAUACAUACGUGUAACAGAUUCAGAUACAACAUUACUUAUAACAUACCAGACAAACUGAGUGACAUUUUAGGCCUACAGUGUCAAAUUUAAAGAGUUUCCCAAGUUCAAUUAAUACAAUAUUAUAAACAUACAAAUGUAAUAAAAAUUAUUGUUCGCGAAUAUUCAAUUUGGAAUGCGAUUUUGUUAAUAAAAAAAUACUUAUAACUUAUGCAAAACCCAAGAGAGGCAUUAUUUAUAUUUAUUUCUUUUGCGUUCAUUUUCAAAUUCGCCGUGCAUAUAUUUUUGUGCAUGGCGCUUGAGAGGGCAUCACGUGACUAAAAACGACCAACCAACGACCUCGCUUCGGCCAUCUUGGCAUCUUCAUUUUCAUUUCAUCUUGGCCACCUUGCCCGGCCUUGCCUUGCCGUGGAUAGUUUGUAUUAUUUGUGCUUUUUAAGAAUAUUUUUUUAAUUCGGAUACUUUUAUAAUAGCUUUAAUAGUAUUAUUAACAUAGUGCAUAAAAUGGUGUCCUGUUUUUGACGCAGUUGGAGUAGCAGAAACAAAUGUAGAUAAAAAAAUCUGCAGGAAUAACGUUUCAAUUAUGACAGAAGCUCGAAACAAAUGACUGUGAAUUAGUGUGAAUGAAAAGCCCUAUUAAAAGCUUUCCAGAAGAUCCUGCGAAGAAGACAUGAAGUAUAGAUCAGAUUUGUUAAUAGAGGAGUAUGUUCAAAACACUUUUUAGAAAAAGAUAUUGACAGAACUUCACUUUCAUCUGUUCGUUUGAGAGACUGUGCUGUUCCAAUAGCUUAUGUCACACAGAAUCAGCUGAGAGAAGUGGUCUACAAAAAACCAGAAAGGAAACGGAAUAUGUGGCUACGAAAAGCAAAAGAAAGGUUUACAAAGCAAAUGUGACACAUUUUUUUAUAAUAUUUAGGAAUGUCAGUAAAUUACAUUAAAAAAUGUAUGUAAAGAUUUUUUGCAAUAAAAAUGUUUAUAUUUA
rnacentral:lncRNA from 1 species